rnacentral:rRNA from 1 species
UACGUAGGAUGCGAGCGUUAAUCGGAAUUACUGGGCGUAAAGCGUGCGUAGGCGGUUCGUUAAGUUCGUUGUGAAAGCCCCGGGCUCAACCUGGGAAUGGCAAUGGAAACUGGCGGGCUUGAGUAUGGCAGAGGGGGGUGGAAUUCCGCGUGUAGCAGUGAAAUGCGUAGAGAUGCGGAGGAACACCGAUGGCGAAGGCAGCCCCCUGGGCCAAUACUGACGCUCAGGCACGAAAGCGUGGGGAGCAAACAGG